rnacentral:rRNA from 1 species
AACGAACGCUGGCGGCAUGCCUAACACAUGCAAGUCGAACGAGACCUUCGGGUCUAGUGGCGCACGGGUGCGUAACGCGUGGGAACCUGCCCUUAGGUUCGGAAUAACUCCCCCAAAGGGGUGCUAAUACCGGAUAAUGUCUUCGGACCAAAGAUUUAUCGCCUUUGGAUGGGCCCGCGUUGGAUUAGCUAGUUGGUAGGGUAAAAGCCUACCAAGGCGACGAUCCAUAGCUGGUCUGAGAGGAUGAUCAGCCACACUGGGACUGAGACACGGCCCAGACUCCUACGGGAGGCAGCAGUGGGGAAUAUUGGACAAUGGGCGAAAGCCUGAUCCAGCAAUGCCGCGUGAGUGAUGAAGGCCUUAGGGUUGUAAAGCUCUUUUACCCGGGAUGAUAAUGACAGUACCGGGAGAAUAAGCUCCGGCUAACUCCGUG